UGACUCACAAGACUGUAGUCCUUUAGAAGAAGAGAAGAUAUAUUGGACUUGGAGAUCUGACCCGAGGCGAGGACUGGUCUAAAAUUGAAAGGCAUUUUAAAGGAAGACAUGAGGAGAGAUGUGAAUGAGGUGAAGAUAAGUGGCCCUGUUCAAGAGGGUCUACCUUAUACACUUGAGUUUGUGCUCUCAAUCGCUGAAGACUCGGAUCAAUAGCACUGCGGAAGCGAGAGAGGAAGAACACCGACAGAAUCAGCAGAACGAGGUUAAACUCGCCUGGAGAGAGGCGAAAAACGUUAACGAUUAAAUGAGGUGCGAGAAGAUCUCAUUCAUCUCAAUGGCAGGGGCUCGGUUGGUGCAUGAAACCCUGGAAACAUGCAACACAGAUGCAGGAUCUUUGGUCACAGACACUCAGAGAGCAUGUACCACCAGGGGCCUAAAGGUUGGAGUUAACCAAGCAAACCUUCAUCCACUUAAUGAAAUGGUCUGUUUUUCGUUACUGUCCCUUUAAGAAACUCCUGCUUUGUGUUUAGGAUUGAAUCGAGAAUGCCUUUUAAAUCAAUUCUUUUUCUGAAGGCAAAGAGGAGGGAAUUGCAAUUCACAUUUGAAUGUAAUAAAGCAGAAUUAAAAUUCAAAGAAAUUCUUUUAACUUUUAUUUCUAACAAUGUUUGUCAAGACAGACUG